GACGAACCGUGCGAACGUUGUUCGGAAUUACUGGGCGUAAAGGGCUCGUAGGCGGCCAACUAAGUCAGACGUGAAAUCCCCAGGCUCAACCUGGGAACUGCGCCUGAUACUGAUUGGCUUGAAUCCGGGAGAGGGAUGCAGAAUUCCAGGUGUAGCGGUGAAAUGCGUAGAUAUCUGGAGGAAUACCGGUGGCGAAGGCGGCAUCCUGGACCGGCAUUGACGCUGAGGCGCGAAAGCCAGGGGAGCAAACGGG
rnacentral:rRNA from 1 species